rnacentral:rRNA from 1 species
AACGAACGCUGGCGGCAGGCUUAACACCUGCAAGUCGAGCGCCCCGCAAGGGGAGCGGCAGACGGGUGAGUAACGCGUGGGAACGUACCCUUUGCUACGGAAUAGCUCCGGGAAACCGGAAUUAAUACCGUAUGUGCCCUACGGGGAAAAGAUUUAUCGGCAAAGGAUCGGCCCGCGUUGGAUUAGCUAGUUGGUGGGGUAAUGGCCUACCAAGGCGACGAUCCAUAGCUGGUCUGAUAGGAUGAUCAGCCACAUUGGGACUGUGACACGGCCCAAACUCCUACGGGAGGCAGCAGUGGGGAAUAUUGGACAAUGGGCGCAAGCCUGAUCCAGCCAUGCCGCGUGAGUGAUGAAGGCCUUAGGGUUGUAAAGCUCUUUCACCGGAGAAGAUAAUUACGGUAUCCGGAGAAGAAGCCCCGGCUAACUUCGUGCCAGCCGCCGCAGUAACAC